UGUUAGUCUAUAAGGUGCCACAGGACUCUUUGUUGCUUUUUACAGAUCCAGACUAUCAAGGCUAUCCCUCUGAUAAUUAUUAACUCAGUCAGUAAUAA